AGAAUGACUCUCGGCAACGGAUAUCUAGGCUCUUGCAUCGAUGAAGAACGUAGCGAAAUGCGAUACUUGGUGUGAAUUGCAGAAUCCCGUGAACCAUCGAGUUUUUGAACGCAAGUUGCGCCCGAUGCCAUUAGGUUGAGGGCACGUCUGCCUGGGUGUCACA
rnacentral:rRNA from 3 species